rnacentral:rRNA from 1 species
UACGUAGGGAGCAAGCGUUGUCCGGAAUCAUUGGGCGUAAAGCGCGUGUAGGCGGCCCGGUAAGUCCGCUGUGAAAGUCCAGGGCUCAACCCUGGGAUGCCGGUGGAUACUGUCGGGCUCGAGUCCGGAAGAGGCGAGUGGAAUUCCUGGUGUAGCGGUGAAAUGCGCAGAUAUCAGGAGGAACACCAAUGGCGAAGGCAGCUCGCUGGGACGUGACUGACGCUGAGACGCGAAAGCGUGGGGAGCAAACAGG